rnacentral:rRNA from 1 species
UACGUAGGUGGCAAGCGUUGUCCGGAUUUAUUGGGUGUAAAGGGCGUGUAGGCGGGAGCGCAAGUCAGAUGUGAAAACUCAGGGCUCAACCCUGAGCCUGCAUUUGAAACUGUGUUUCUUGAGUGCUGGAGAGGCAAUCGGAAUUCCGUGUGUAGCGGUGAAAUGCGUAGAUAUACGGAGGAACACCAGUGGCGAAGGCGGAUUGCUGGACAGUAACUGACGCUGAGGCGCGAAAGCGUGGGGAGCAAACAGG